GCCUUUGUAGCUCAGUGGUAGAGCGCCAGUCUUGUAAACUGGAGGUCCAGAGUUCGAUCCUCUGCGGAGGCA
rfam:Selaginella moellendorffii unplaced genomic scaffold SELMOscaffold_44, whole genome shotgun sequence.